rnacentral:lncRNA from 1 species
CUUUACUCAGCAGCCCAUACUAGGUCCUCACCAAUUUCUUGAUGGAGUACGAAGUAAGGUUUGCCAUAUUACCUACUCUACAAUUUGGGGACUUUAACCAUUGUAAGCCCAAUCAUCACUCUCACUUCUUAGCUUUUAUUUAAAGAGUAAGUUUGUAUUCUAAAUUGAUUUCUACAACUGCUGUUUAUGGAAUUAAGAUGAAUCCAGUGGUGGUCAGCUGAUCACUGUGGGUGAAGUCUGUUGGUUGCUUUUUACAGUAUUUUAUGUUCCUUCUUCUCUUGCUUCCUGUGUGCUGUGCUGUGAAGCAUGACAGAGCACCUGCCUGUGUGUGCACAGCACCGUGAACUCAAUCUUUCAGUCACUUUCUUUUCUUUUCAUGUUUAAAUAAGAGAUAAGCCACGUUGGCCAGGGCAUGUGGACUCUCCAUGGAGUUCACUAACAAACCGAAUUUAUGUAUCGUUGCAAAAUAGUCAACACUCCAGUCUGUUAGAAACAGGUGCCAAGAGAGGAAAUGUUUAAUAUUUUCCACGUGGCAUGGGCUCUGUCAGACAGUGUUUCCAACCAGAGUCUGUUUUCGCAGUUAAAUCAUAGGUUCAGAGUCUUCCUUUUGCCUCAAGAGUCUGUCUGGUGGCUGGCUCGCAGCUAGCUUCUGCACAAUCCCCUCACUCUGACCCUGCAUCUUCAAUGCCGCCAUUCUGCCAAACCGCUGCUACUUCUGGGUGAAAACCUAGUUCUAGCUCCCUCCAGAGUUAGCUGGUUUGGCUAUUUGAAAGCUACUCCUUCAAUGAACCGUUCUUUGUCAUUUCAGAAAUGAACCCUGCUUUCCAGCAUUUGGGCUGGACAGGGUUCUCCAGGCUUGCUAACUACAGCAGCUGUUUUCUGUCCCCAGUAAGAGCCAGGGUGACAUACCUACCUGCCCAGAGCCACCCUUGACAGGAGACUCAGGGAGAAGUGCCCCCAGGACCAAAGCACCUGCCCAGCCCACUGGAAGAAGGAAGCUUACAAUUCUGUAUGCUUGGAACCCACCAAAGCCUGAGGCCUCACUGGCACCCAGCCAUCCACAGGAGUUAGCAGCUGUUUGAGUCCAGAAGGAAGAACUUUUGGAGUCGGAGACAAAUAAUGUUCACCACUCCACUUCCUUGUUCCUUCACACCUGCUACUUUGGAUUCAGACGAGAAGUUCCAAGAAUCCCUGAGUCCACAGCAUGACUCUGGUUUGCAGAACCUCUGUCCAGACCAGCCAGAUCAGAAUACAAAGGAAAGUGACACAUCCUGGAUCUCAACCCACUUCGAUGGGAAGUCUUCCUGAUAAAUUUAGAGAUAACCUAAAGCCCUUGGGGACUUCCUCUUGAUUUGAAUCUGCUGAACACCUGCCGCACCCCCACCGCACC